CAGGAAUGAAGUUCUGCUAAGUGCGAGGCGUCCUGUCGCAGCACAGAACUGACCCGCGUCCUGCGAG
rnacentral:sRNA from 1 species